rnacentral:miRNA from 1 species
GAGGCCCAGAGCACUGUC